CGGGUGAGUAACACGUGGGAAAUCUGCCCUGAACUCUGGGACAAGCCUUGGAAACGAGGUCUAAUACCGGAUAUGACCGUGGAGCGCAUGCUCUGUGGUGGAAAGCUCCGGCGGUUCAGGAUGAUCCCGCGGCCUAUCAGCUUGUUGGUGGGGUAAUGGCCUACCAAGGCGACGACGGGUAGCCGGCCUGAGAGGGCGACCGGCCACACUGGGACUGAGACACGGCCCAG
rnacentral:rRNA from 1 species